rnacentral:rRNA from 1 species
UGGGGAAUAUUGCGCAAUGGGCGAAAGCCUGACGCAGCGGCGCCGCGUGUGGGAUGACGGCCUUCGGGUUGUAAACCACUGUCGGGAGGGACGAAUGCGCCGCAAGGCGAGUGACGGUACCUCCAAAGGAAGCACCGGCUAACUCCGUGCCAGCAGCCGCGGUAAUACGGAGGGUGCGAGCGUUGUCCGGAAUCACUGGGCGUAAAGGGCGCGUAGGCGGCCUGGUAAGUAGGGGGUGAAAUCCUGCGGCUUAACCGCAGGGCUGCCUUCUAAACUGUCAGGCUCGAGCACGGUAGAGGCAGAUGGAAUUCCCGGUGUAGCGGUGGAAUGCGUAGAGAUCGGGAAGAACAUCAGUGGCGAAGGCGGUCUGCUGGGCCGUUGCUGACGCUGAGGCGCGACAGCGUGGGAGCAAACAGGAUUAGAUACCCUGGUAGUCCACGCCGUAAACGAUGGGCACUAGGCGUCGGGGGGAGCGGACCCUCCCGGUGCCGUCGCUAAC